rnacentral:rRNA from 1 species
AACGAACGCUGGCGGCAGGCCUAACACAUGCAAGUCGAGCGCGCCCUUCGGGGUUAGCGGCGGACGGGUGAGUAACGCGUGGGAACGUGCCCUUCUCUGCGGAAUAGCCUCGGGAAACUGAGAGUAAUACCGCAUACGCCCUUUGGGGGAAAGAUUUAUCGGAGCAGGAUCGGCCCGCGUUGGAUUAGGUAGUUGGUGGGGUAAUGGCCCACCAAGCCGACGAUCCAUAGCUGGUUUGAGAGGAUGAUCAGCCACACUGGGACUGAGACACGGCCCAGCCUCCUACGGGAGGCAGCAGUGGGGAAUCUUAGACAAUGGGGGCAACCCUGAUCGAGCCAUGCCGCGUGAGUGAUGAAGGCCUUAGGGUUGUAAAGCUCUUUCAGCUGGGAAGAUAAUGACGGUACCAGCAGAAGAAGCCCCGGCUAACUACGUG